rnacentral:hammerhead_ribozyme from 1 species
AUACGGAUGACGAGUCCAAAAUAAGACGAAACCCAUGUCUUGAAU